GCCAUGCAUCUUCCCAAAAAGGCUGGCCUGCUUGGUAGACUUCUUUUAGACUUUUUUCUAAAGAUGUGGAUCCGCCCCUGCCUGAUUCCAUAUCUUAAACAUUGCCCGACCACAUGAUCUGGCUGGUAUUUCUCUGUCGAUUAGCAGACAACGAGUGAGGAGCAGCUUUUUAGCCUGCAGGAAAAAGUGGAAGAUAAACGUUGAUCCUGUCAAUCAAAAACUACAGAGUCUUUAGGCCGACCUUGCCGACAGAAAAACACAGAGAUGAAUUCCCUGUUUCUCCUGAGCUGUCUAAGCUCCACCUGGUUUCUCUUGGUAUACUCGCACAUGGUACUGGAGGACAAGCUAUCCACCAAUAAGUCUUCUUUCUCGAGUAUACAGAAUGGGAGCCUGUCAGAUGCUCCACCCAUCGUCAUUGUAGAGUUGCCCAAAACGGCAAAGAAAAAAAUCAACAAACCAAGAAAGAACAAAUUCAGCGUCAAAAACAAACAUCCACCUCCUCCCGCCAACUGCGUGCCAUUGUGGGGAAGCUGCAAAACCCCUAAUAAUGUGUGCUGUGAGUACUGCGCUUUCUGCCACUGCCGCCUUUUCAAGACUGUGUGCUAUUGUCGAAUGGGAAAUCCGCGGUGUUGAAGACAUGAAAGAAACAUAACAGAAUAUUGGCAUAUUCACAAGGAGAGAAAAUGUCUAUGAGUAGGCUUAUCAUAUCAUCUUGUUUGAUGUCUCACUUCUGAGGAUAAUGGCCAAGAUUAAUUGAGGACAGAGCCUACAUGUGUAGGCCUAAAACCACACAAAUCCUUCAACUAUCAUUCCAAAUUUGAGACAUUACAAAUAAUUGUAAUAAUAUUUAUCUCGUAUGAGGUAAAAAAAAUAAACAAAUAAAAAGCGGCACCAGACAAGUUCCAUAAUGGUGUACUAGAGACUAGUUGAUCCUUUCAUUCAAAUCUGUUCAAUUAAACAUUUUGGUGUCCUUUAAGUAGGCUACCUUUCCAUAAAUGGAGAAGUUGUCCUAGUCCAAGGCCUAUUAAAUCAUAGCCUAUAUUAGUGGAUAUAUAUUUUUCAAUGAUAUUCUAUUAAUAAAGACUUUGUUGUGAAACAUGUACAUGAAGCAAUAGCUUACACAUCAUGCCAGUGCUGUAAAAGAGACAGUGUGUAGGAUUUACUGUCUUGAGUAGUCCAGGGGUCAAAUUGUCUGGCUCUUUGAUAAAACAUGGCAAGCACCUUAAAAGAAGCACAAAUUGUGUUCCCCUACCUGGUUUUCAAAGAUUGAUGCUGCUAGUGUUCAUAACCUCAUAAUGAUCAGCAGUGUUGUAUUGCAUGCAUGUGAUCACUUGACCGACAGCAGAAAUUAAACUAGCACUGGAGAAAUACAAAUGUUUUAUAGUUUUAUAUUAAUAUGACAUGUUAUUUUCAGAAAGACAAACUGGCAAAAGCACUCAAGGAGCCAAAAUGUCUGUUCUUGAGUAAAAAAAUAACUAACUGUACAAUAUUUACUACGAGGCAUUUACUGAGGGCCAUUAGUACUGAAUUUUUCUAUGGCAUAUGGCUUGUAUUAACACUUAUUUUAUUGAUGUAACGAAAAAUCUAAUCAACACAUAUUUUGAAAUAAACUUCUAUUUACA